UCUACGGGAGGCAGCAGUGGGGAAUAUUGCGCAAUGGGCGAAAGCCUGACGCAGCGACGCCGCGUGAGGGAUGAAGGUCUUCGGAUCGUAAACCUCUGUCAGCAGGGAAGAAUGGUCACUGUGCUAAUCAGCAGUGAAUUGACGGUACCUGCAAAGGAAGCACCGGCUCACUCCGUGCCAGCAGCCGCGGUAAUACGGAGGGUGCGAGCGUUAAUCGGAAUUACUGGGCGUAAAGCGCUCGUAGGCGGUAUGUCAAGUCAAGGGUGAAAUCCCCGCGCUCAACGUGGGAACUGCCUUUGAAACUGGCAAACUGGAGUGUGUGGGAGGAUAGUGGAAUUCCAGGUGUAGGAGUGAAAUCCGUAGAUAUCUGGAGGAACAUCAGUGGCGAAGGCGACUAUCUGGCACAUAACUGACGCUGAGGAGCGAAAGCGUGGGUAGCAAACAGGAUUAGAUACCCCUGUAGUC
rnacentral:rRNA from 1 species